rnacentral:miRNA from 1 species
AACGAAGUGACUCUAACAUCGGUU